GAAUCCGGGUCUAGAAGGCACCAAUGUAACCGGUGCUGUACUGCACCGCUGUAACUCUGGGUUGUAUAUGUGGUUGAUUGAGACUAUAGACGGGGACUUUGGAGAUCAGGGAGUUUUAACAAAGCAGAAUUCACUCUGCAUCCUGCAUCCAAAAGAAAAGAAAACAUUUGUAGAGCACAUAUGUUCCGCGAAUCGUCGCCUCUUAUAGGAGGGACUGGGAUCAUUCGAGGAGCUAGCCAUCAUUCACACAUUCAAUAGCCUGCCGAUACCUUAGCUAGCUAUUAACCACAUGUUGAAAUAAUCCUAAAAAGUACAAUUACAUCGUAACAAUACCAUCCACUUAUGAGUAACCUCUAAAUAGACAUUAUUCAUGAACAAAACACUGUAUGACUGUGCUUAAAAUAAUCAAACUUUUCUGAAGACAGAAAAAGCGGGCCAACCUCAAAGUGCAUGAAAAUGAUUUGAGCACGAGCAAGCAGGGCAACACAAGGCCUACUUUUCAAGGCUGCAGUUUGAGGGGCCCUAACGCAACUAUCAACCCUGAGAGAACCAGUUGAUACUGCAGGUCUUCAGGAUGCUCUUCAGCCCAGAAACAUCAGUUAAGUGAUACGAGAGAACCUGACAAGCACAUCCUUGCCGCAGCGGUUGCUGAAAUCUACAAGAAACCAGCAUGAUGACUGUCUAGGUCAGGCCUGUGCAAAGACUGGGUCCGGGGGCUACUCAAAUCACAUAAAGAGUUUGUAAUAGUAAAGUUUUGAAAAACGUAUUUGUUAUUCAAAUUAAAUCCCAAUGAAUACCUG